rnacentral:rRNA from 1 species
AUGCAAGUCGAACGGAAAGGCCCUGCUUGCAGGGUACUCGAGUGGCGAACGGGUGAGUAACACGUGGGUGAUCUGCCCUGCACUUCGGGAUAAGCUUGGGAAACUGGGUCUAAUACCGGAUAGGAACCAUCUUUAGUGUGGUGGUUGGAAAGUUUUUUCGGUGUAGGAUGAGCUCGCGGCCUAUCAGCUUGUUGGUGGGGUAAUGGCCUACCAAGGCGGCGACGGGUAGCCGGCCUGAGAGGGUGUACGGCCACAUUGGGACUGAGAUACGGCCCAGACUCCUACGGGAGGCAGCAGUGGGGAAUAUUGCACAAUGGGCGCAAGCCUGAUGCAGCGACGCCGCGUGGGGGAUGAAGGCCUUCGGGUUGUAAACUCCUUUCGCUAGGGACGAAGCUUUUUGUGACGGUACCUAGAUAAGAAGCACCGGCUAACUACGUGCCAGCAGCCGCGGUAAUACGUAGGGUGCGAGCGUUGUCCGGAAUUACUGGGCGUAAAGGGCUCGUAGGUGGUUUGUCGCGUCGUCUGUGAAAUUCUGGGGCUUAACUCCGGGCGUGCAGGCGAUACGGGCAUAACUUGAGUGCUGUAGGGGUAACUGGAAUUCCUGGUGUAGCGGUGAAAUGCGCAGAUAUCAGGAGGAACACCGAUGGCGAAGGCAGGUUACUG